rnacentral:lncRNA from 13 species
CCAUCCCUGGACACACAAGGCUAACAUCCACCAUGACCCGGGCAGAGAGAGAGAGGGAGAAGAGGAAGGAGCUGCUGAAGGCUGAGGAGAGAAGGAAGAAGAUGGAGGAUUUCAAUAAGCAGUGGAGAGAGCGGUCCCUGCUUAAAAAACAGACUCAUCAACAACUGAAGGAGGAGAGGGAGAGGAUGAAGGAAAACUACCUGGAUCAGAUGAAUCUGGAGGCUGAUGCUCAAAUCAACACCCGGUGUCUAACCACCCAACACAGCCACGAUUACAACCACGGUCAGGAGUUGCCCGGGUGGGCCAAUGGCCAACAAGUAAGCCAAGAGCCCACUGGAUCUGCUGAUGGCCACCAGGAAAGGCCAAGGAGGCAACAGGCAUGGGCAGAGAACCAGGAGGGGAUUUCAGAGAACCAGCAGGAGGGGCCAGAGAACCAUCAGGGGGGGCCAGAGAACCAUCAGGGGGGGCCAGACAGCCAGCAGCUAGAAGCUCCAGAAGAGGUUGAAACAUCAGAGCGAAUAUCCAAGACAAAGAAAAAGCCAAGCAUCUGGAAGAAAAUUAGGAUGAGCCUUCCUGACGUGCUGUCUGCCUAGAGCUGGAACUCGAUGAAGCCACAGUUCCACUGAGGUUACGUUGGUAAUUAAAAGUGUCGCCCAAUAAUUCCUCCUCCUCUUUAAGUCAUCGAGCCACAUUUCUUCCUCAAAACAUUAUAGUCUCCUCAAGCCAGCAAGUAUCCUCUUUAUCAGGCAACAAACCAUCGAAGGUCAGUGACCCUCCUCCCAAGAACAGAGACUCUCAUCUGUAUCCUAGUUAAAUUCAUCUCUGCUUACCACCUCUACAGUCCUAGAAAAUAUCCCAAAAAUGGAAAUGGUUUCAACAGAAGUCCUCCCCUCAGACCAGUGGCUCCACAGACCAGAGUUUCUCAUCUUUAUUCAAGUUGAAUGCAACUCUGAUCAUUUCCACCACCUCUCCUGUUAAGGGAGGUGCUGAAAAGGAGGUCUGGGAGGAGGUCUGCAGGUAGCCUGGACCGGACCGGUAGCAGCUAAGUUGCUGGCUCCAUCCCCGGGCAGAGCUGCUCAAGUCAGGCCAGUGAUGUUUGAUGAUGUCAUUUUUGUUAGCAAAGUUUUAUUCUUUAAUAAAAGCAUUUAUUAAAAAAGCAAUCUUGUUGUUACGGUGUGGAUUGUUUUGUUAUUUAUUAGAAUUGAAACAUCCAGUAGUCAUAGUAGAUGUUAGACUUUCAAUGAGACACCUAACAUUCCAUCAGUUUGAUACAAUGUGUGACAUGUUAUAUUAGAGAGGAGUCCUCUAUACACAUCUAUUUUAGACCAUAGGAGAAAUAUCAGAUUGAAAUAACUUCUCUAAGAAUCUGAGGAGAGAGCAACAGUAGACGCAUCGUUAGCUCUCCCACCUCCAGUUCAGUACUCCGGUCAUUCCACCAAUUGAGUACCUUUUGGGGAGUGUAACUUUAUAUUUCACCUAAUUCUAACAUUCUGUCAUAAAGAGCACAUGUUCAACUUAAUAUAAAACAUAUUUUCCCAUCUCAAAGUAACAAAUACAUACUAUAGUAAGUGCCUAUUAAGUGCCAAAUAAAGUGACAGGGUUGACUGUAACAGAGUUGACUAUUUCAUCUAGAAUCAACCAUAGAUCCCCAUGUGACAGGGGGAAUGGAAUGCAAGCUUACCAAACACAUGUAAAUAGUUUCAACAUUUCUAGACUGUCUACCUAUAGGUAACAGGGUUGCGGUGUUAUAAUUCACCCACCCUGUCAGGGGUGCGUGAAUGAGGACCCAAAAGCGAAUUAACAAAACAGAGUUUCUUUAAUGACGAAACACAUGUAGGCUCAGAUGGACAGGCAGAUUCCGACAGGACAGGACAAGGUUAGAUGAACUGGCAGAUUCCGACAGGACAGGACAAGGUUGCAGCAAACACGACGAUAGUCUGGUUCAGGCAUGAGAAACACAAACGAGAAUCCGACAAAGACAGGAGCAGGAACAGAGAGAGAUAUAGAGACCUAAUCAGAGGGAAAAAGGGAACAGGUGGGAAAAGGGGUGAAUGAGGUAGUUAGAGAAGACAAGGAACAGCUGGGGGAAAGAGGGGAAGAAAAGGUAACCUAAUACGACCAGCAGAGGGAGACAGGGUGAAGAGAAAGAACAGGAACAAGACACAACAUGACAAUACAUGACAGUACCCCCCCACUCACCGAGCGCCUCCUGGCGCACUCGAGGAGGAAACCUGGCGGCAACGGAGGAAAUCAUCGAUCAGCGAACGGUCCAGCACGUCCCGAGAGGGAACCCAACUCCUUUCCUCAGGACCGUACCCCUCCCAAUCCACUAGGUACUGAUGACCACGGCCCCGAGGACGCAUGUCCAAAAUCUUACGGACCCUGUAGAUAGGUGCGCCCUCGACAAGGAUGGGGGGG